CCCUUAGAUGUUCUGGGCCGCACGCGCGCUACACUGAUGCAUUCAACGAGCCUAUCCUUGACCGACAGGUCCGGGUAAUCUUUGAAUCUGCAUCGUGACGGGGAUAGAUUAUUGCAAUUAUUAAUCUUCAACGAGGAGUGCCUAGUAGGCGCAAGUCAUCAGCUUGCGUCGAUUACGUCCCUGCCCUUUGUACACACCGCCCGUCGCUCCUACCGAUUGGGUGUGCUGGUGAAAUGUUCGGAUCGGCCGUUUGUCGCGGUUUCCGCGUCAUGUGGCUGAGAAGUUCAUUAAACCCUCCCACCUACAGGAAGGAGAAGUCGUAACA
rnacentral:rRNA from 1 species